AUAUUUAAUUCAUCCACGACAGAAUUUGCUAGUGUUGAUGAGGAACCGGUUAUUACCGUGGAUAUUUAUGAUCCAAGCAAUUUGGGUAAUCUUGAUAACAAAGUGAGGUAUAUAUUAGUGGAAAAGGGUCCUAAAAGGGAAGAACAAUACACUAAAUAUUCUCUGGAUGAAAAUUCAAGACAUUUUUCGUAUAACCAUUACUUGAGAAAAACGUGCGUGAUAGGAAAUGGUUAG
rnacentral:rRNA from 1 species